GAUGAACGCUGGCGGCGUGCCUAAUACAUGCAAGUCGAGCGAACGGACGAGAAGCUUGCUUUUCUGAUGUUAGCGGCGGACGGGUGAGUAACACGUGGAUAACCUACCUAUAAGACUGGGAUAACUUCGGGAAACCGGAGCUAAUACCGGAUAAUAUUUUGAACCGCAUGGUUCAAAAGUGAAAGACGGUCUUGCUGUCACUUAUAGAUGGAUCCGCGCUGCAUUAGCUAGUUGGUAAGGUAACGGCUUACCAAGGCAACGAGGCGUAGCCGACCUGAGAGGGUGAUCGGCCACACUGGAACGGAGACACGGUCCCGACUCCUACGGGAGGCAGCAGUAGGGAAUCUUCCGCAAUGGGAGAAAGCCUGACGGAGCAACGCCGCGUGAGUGAUGAAGGUCUUCGGAUCGUAAAACUCUGUUAUGAGGGAAGAACAUAUGUGUAAGUAACUGUGCACAUCUUGACGGUACCUAAUCAGAAAGCCACGGCUAACUACGUG
rnacentral:rRNA from 1 species